UGCGUAGGCGGGGCAAUUAGUCAGUGGUGAAAUCCUGCGGCUUAACCGUAGAAUUGCCAUUGAUACUGUUGCCCUUGAGUAUAGUUGAAGUGGGCGGAAUAUGUAAUGUAGCGGUGAAAUGCAUAGAGAUUACAUAGAACACCAAUUGCGAAGGCAGCUCACUAAGCUAUCACUGACGCUAAUGGACGAAAGCGUGGGGAGCGAACAGGAUUAGAUACCCUGGUAGUCC
rnacentral:rRNA from 1 species